rnacentral:rRNA from 1 species
AGUGAACGCUGGCGGUAGGCCUAACACAUGCAAGUCGAACGGCAGCACAGUAAGAGCUUGCUCUUACGGGUGGCGAGUGGCGGACGGGUGAGGAAUACAUCGAAAUCUACUUUUUCGUGGAGGAUAACGUAGGGAAACUUACGCUAAUACCGCAUACGACCUACGGGUGAAAGCAGGGGAUCUUCGGACCUUGCGCGAUUGAAUGAGCCGAUGUCGGAUUAGCUAGUUGGCGGGGUAAAGGCCCACCAAGGCGACGAUCCGUAGCUGGUCUGAGAGGAUGAUCAGCCACACUGGAACUGAGACACGGUCCAGACUCCUACGGGAGGCAGCAGUGGGGAAUAUUGGACAAUGGGCGCAAGCCUGAUCCAGCCAUACCGCGUGGGUGAAGAAGGCCUUCGGGUUGUAAAGCCCUUUUGUUGGGAAAGAAAGGCAGCAGGUUAAUACCCCGCUGUUCUGACGGUACCCAAAGAAUAAGCACCGGCUAACUUCGUG